rnacentral:rRNA from 1 species
AUUGAACGCUGGCGGCAUGCUUUACACAUGCAAGUCGAACGGUAACAGGUUAAGCUGACGAGUGGCGAACGGGUGAGUAAUGCAUCGGAACGUGCCCGGUCGUGGGGGAUAACGCAGCGAAAGCUGCGCUAAUACCGCAUACGAUCUGAGGAUGAAAGCGGGGGACCGUAAGACCUCGCGCGAUCGGAGCGGCCGAUGUCAGAUUAGGUAGUUGGUGAGGUAAAGGCUCACCAAGCCAACGAUCUGUAGCUGGUCUGAGAGGACGACCAGCCACACUGGGACUGAGACACGGCCCAGACUCCUGCGGGAGGCAGCAGUGGGGAAUUUUGGACAAGGGGCGAAAGCCUGAUCCAGCAAUGCCGCGUGCAGGAAGAAGGCCUUCGGGUUGUAAACUGCUUUUGUACGGAGCGAAAAGGCUCUCUCUAAUACAGGGGGCUCAUGACGGUACCGUAAGAAUAAGCACCGGCUAACUACGUGCCAGCCGCCGCCGUAA